AAACCCUAACCGAAACCUCCCCUAUCGCCAAGAUCGAUUUCCACUCAGGACUGUUUCUUAUAACCCUAAAACUGAAAAAUCCCGCUCUAUUUGUCUUUCUCGAUAACAAUCUCUCUCUUGAAGCUUGAGGUUUCGCUUCUCUUGCUUUUCAAUGUAUCUAUACAACCUCACACUCCAACGCCCGACCGGCAUCCUCGCCGCCAUCUAUGGGAACUUCUCCGGUGGUAAGGUCCAGGAAAUCGUUGUGGCUCGCGGAAAGGUCCUGGACCUGGUCCGUCCUGAUGAGAACGGAAAGCUCCAGACCAUACUCUCCGUCGAGAUCUUCGGUGCCAUCCGUUCACUGGCGCAGUUCCGCCUCACCGGCGCACAGAAGGACUAUAUCGUAGUUGGCUCUGACUCUGGCCGCAUCGUCAUCCUUGAUUACAACAAGGAGAAAAACGUAUUUGACAAAAUUCACCAGGAGACAUACGGCAAGUCUGGCUGCCGCCGCAUCGUCCCAGGUCAGUACCUCGCCAUUGAUCCUAAAGGUAGAGCCGUAAUGAUAGGAGCUUGUGAGAAGCAGAAGCUCGUCUACGUUCUCAAUAGAGAUACAGCGGCUAGGUUGACUAUAUCGUCGCCGCUGGAGGCUCACAAGUCGCACACUGUAACGUACUCCAUUUGUGGGGUGGAUUGUGGGUUUGAUAAUCCCAUAUUUGCUUCUAUCGAGCUGGAUUACUCUGAGGCCGACCAGGAUUCCACUGGGCAGGCCGCGAGUGAGGCUCAAAAGAAUUUGACGUUUUACGAGCUUGAUCUGGGGCUUAAUCACGUGUCAAGGAAGUGGUCGGAGCAGGUUGAUAACGGUGCCAACAUGCUUGUCACUGUGCCUGGAGGCGGGGAUGGGCCUAGUGGAGUGUUAGUUUGUGCAGAGAAUUUCGUGAUCUAUAAGAAUCAAGGGCAUCCUGAUGUACGAGCUGUGAUUCCAAGGAGAGCGGAUUUGCCUGCGGAGCGUGGGGUACUAAUAGUUUCUGCAGCUACCCACAAGCAGAAAUCCAUGUUUUUCUUUCUUUUGCAGACUGAGUACGGUGAUAUAUUUAAAGUGACAUUGGAGCAUGAUAACGAUAGGGUUACAGAACUUAAGAUUAAGUAUUUUGAUACCAUUCCUGUGUCAGCCGCCAUGUGUGUGUUGAAGUCUGGAUUUUUGUUUGCUGCUUCAGAGUUUGGAAACCAUGCUUUGUACCAGUUUCAGGCAAUUGGAGAGGAAGAGGACGUUGAGGCCUCAUCUAUGACGUUGAUGGAAACUGAAGAGGGUUUCCAGCCUGUGUUUUUCCAGCCAAGAGGGUUAAAGAACCUUGUGAGGAUUGAUCAGUUGGAGAGUUUGAUGCCAAUAAUGGAUAUGAAAGUUAAUAAUCUUUUUGAGGAAGAAACACCUCAGAUAUUCACCUUAUGCGGACGGGGUCCUAGAUCCUCCUUAAGGAUAUUGAGGACUGGUUUGGCUAUUAGUGAAAUGGCUGUCUCACAGCUUCCAGGUGUCCCUAGUGCUGUUUGGACUGUGAAAAAGAAUGUCAAUGAUGAGUUUGAUGCAUACAUUGUGGUGUCUUUUGCAAAUGCCACUCUUGUGCUUUCAAUUGGUGAGACAGUUGAAGAAGUUAGUGACAGUGGAUUUCUUGAUACUACUCCGUCCCUUGCGGUUUCAUUGAUUGGUGAUGAUUCUUUGAUGCAAGUUCACCCCAAUGGUAUUAGGCAUAUAAGGGAAGAUGGACGUAUUAAUGAGUGGAGAACUCCUGGAAAGAGGACAAUCGUGAAAGUUGGGUCCAAUAGGCUUCAAGUGGUUAUUGCUUUGAGUGGAGGGGAGCUUGUAUAUUUUGUAGUGGAUUUGACUGGAAAUUUGAAAGAGGUGGAGAAACAUGAGAUGUCUGGAGAUGUGGCUUGUUUGGACAUCGCUCCAGUUCCUGAAGGAAGACAGAGAUCUCGGUUUCUUGCUGUUGGUUCAUAUGACAACACAAUUCGCAUCUUGUCUUUGGAUCCUGAUGACUGUAUGCAGAUUCUCAGUGUGCAAAGUGUCUCGUCGGCUCCAGAAUCCCUCCUCUUUCUGGAAGUUCAGGCAUCAGUUGGCGGAGAAGAUGGUGCAGAUCACCCCGCUAGCCUUUUUCUUAAUGCUGGUCUGCAGAAUGGAGUUCUGUUUAGAACAAUGGUGGAUAUGGUGACAGGUCAGCUCUCUGAUUCUCGUUCUCGUUUUCUGGGUUUGAGAGCUCCCAAGCUCUUUUCUAUUGUUGUGAGAGGUCGCCGAGCAAUGCUUUGCUUGUCGAGUCGCCCUUGGCUUGGCUAUAUUCACCAGGGACAUUUUCUGCUAACCCCCCUAUCUUAUGAGACUCUUGAAUUUGCCGCCUCGUUUUCAUCUGAUCAGUGUGCGGAAGGUGUGGUUGCUGUAGCUGGAGAUGCGCUUAGGGUGUUUACUAUUGAAAGAUUGGGAGAAACAUUUAAUGAAACUGUAGUACCCUUAAGGUACACUCCUAGGAAGUUUGUGCUUCAUCCUAAGAGGAAAUUGUUGGUCAUGAUAGAAAGUGAUCAAGGAGCUUUCACUGCCGAAGAACGUGAAGCUGCCAAAAAGGAGUGUUUUGAGGCUGCUGGAAUGGGUGAAAAUGGAAAUGCAAACAAUGAGCAAAUGGAGAACGGGGGAGAAGAUGAGGAUAAAGAUGACCCCCUCUCCGAUGAGCAGUAUGGUUACCCAAAGGCAGAGUCGGACAAGUGGGUAUCUUGUAUAAGAGUUCUUGAUCCAAGGACGUCUACGACUACUUGUCUGCUGGAGCUUCAGGACAAUGAAGCUGCUUUUAGCAUAUGCACUGUUAAUUUUCAUGAUAAAGAGUAUGGAACUCUAUUGGCUGUUGGUACUGCUAAGGGACUGCAAUUUUGGCCUAAAAGAAGUUUAGCUGCAGGAUUUAUUCAUAUUUACAGGUUUAAGGAUGAUGGGAAAACCCUUGAACUUUUACACAAGACGCAAGUGGAGGGCGUUCCUCUUGCUUUAUGCCAGUUUCAAGGUAGAUUACUUGCUGGAAUAGGACCUGUCCUGAGAUUGUAUGACUUGGGAAAAAAAAGAUUGCUGAGAAAAUGUGAGAAUAAGCUAUUCCCCAACACUAUUGUUAAUAUUCACACAUAUCGAGAUCGGAUAUAUGUAGGCGAUAUCCAAGAGUCAUUCCAUUUCUGCAAGUAUAGGCGGGACGAGAAUCAACUGUACAUUUUUGCUGAUGAUUGUGUUCCUAGAUGGGUCACUGCAUCACUCCACAUAGAUUUUGACACUGUAGCUGGUGCCGAUAAGUUUGGGAAUAUCUAUUUUGUGCGGUUGCCACAGGAUGUUUCAGAUGAGAUAGAAGAAGACCCAACUGGUGGAAAAAUAAAAUGGGAGCAGGGGAAGCUUAAUGGAGCUCCUAACAAGGUAGAAGAAAUUGUACAGUACCAUAUUGGUGAUGUGGUCACAAGUUUACAAAAGGCAUCUCUAAUUCCUGGUGGUGGGGAGUGCAUCAUUUAUGGGACAGUAAUGGGGUGCUUGGGAGCAUUGCUUCCCUUCACCUCCCGAGAUGACGUUGAUUUCUUCUCUCACCUGGAGAUGUACAUGAGGCAGGAACACCCACCUUUGUGUGGCAGAGAUCACAUGGCCUUUAGAUCUGCUUAUUUUCCGGUGAAGGAUGUGAUUGAUGGAGAUUUGUGUGAGCAGUUCCCGACACUGCCUAUGGAUUUGCAGAGAAAAAUAGCUGACGAACUGGAUAGAACUCCUGGCGAGAUACUGAAGAAACUUGAAGAAGUCCGAAAUAAGAUCGUUUAAGACCAAUCAAAGUUGUUUAUUCAUUGUGCUGGAGUGGAAAAUUCAAUUCUGGUGCACAGGCAUCGUGACGCUUGUUAUUGAGAAAAUCGGAUCCCUGCUGGGGCAAAACGGUUGCUCUUCAUUUGGCCCCUAUAAUUUGGAGUGAUGAUUGUUGGUGUUCAUCGGCUUGCUUGGAUUAUUUGUUAUUGUGGUUGACAUCAACAAUGUGAAGAUCUUUAUGAGGAAAAAAAUGAACAAUGUGUGAUGGUGCAGCAUACCAGAUAUCAGAUUUUCCUGAGUUUUGAGUUAGGAAACCACUCUUAGGUAUGCACGUGGCAGAGCCACAGUUAUCUUGAUUGCAAGUGAUAUCUUUAGAUGAAAUCUAAUUACAGGAGAAGCUAACUGCUGUAGCCUGUAGGUGAGCCGGUCUGUUGUUGUAAUUAUUAGAUUUUGUUAGUUGUGUGCCUCCAUUGAAUUAAUGUUCUUAGAAUUUUGGAUGUCUGAAUGAUGUUGGAACGGUUGCUGAGAUUGAGACUGAUUUAAGCUGAGCACAAGUAGGUAAUGCUGGGCUGUGUAUAAUGACACUUUCAUAUUUGAGUUUGAUUUGGUAUUUUAGUGGAUAUUUUAUUGUAUAAGGUGCCACUUUCAUUAGUGCAAGGGCUCCUGCUUA